GCAUCUGUAGCUCAGCUGGAUAGAGCGUUGCCCUCCGAAGGCAGAGGUCGUUGGUUCAAAUCCAAUCAGAUGCACCA
rnacentral:tRNA from 6 species